rnacentral:rRNA from 1 species
AUUGAACGCUGGCGGCAGGCCUAACACAUGCAAGUCGAGCGGAGCGGCGAACGGGUGAGUAAUGCCUAGGAAGCUGCCCGGUAGUGGGGGAUAACUUCCGGGAACGGGCGCUAAUACCGCAGACGAUCAGAUGAGCCUAGGUCGGAGUAGCUAGUUGGUGGGGUAAAGGCCUACCAAGUUGACGAUCCGUAACUGGUCUGAGAGGAUGAUCAGUCACACUGGAACGGAGACACGGUCCAGAAUCCUACGGUAGGCAGCAGUGGGGAAUAUUAGACAAUGGACGAAAGCCUGAUCGAGCCAUGCCGCGUGUGUGAAGAAGGUCUUCGGAUUGUAAAGCACUUUAAGUUGGGAGGCGUUACCAACAGAAUAAGCACCGGCUAACUUCGUGCCAGCAGCCGCGGUAAUAC